AAUAAAAAGGAAAAAAAAAUCGAACCAGAUCAUUAAAUCACUUAAUAUUAGAGCUAUAUAUAUAUAUAUAUAACCUAUAGUAAUAUAUAUGAUUGAAACCAGAGUUUAAUUAUCCGUAUAGAUCUAUCUACUCGCAGUGUGUGUAAAUUAUAAAUAAUGGUGUAGUUUUGCUGAUUUUCGGCAACCGGUGGUUUGAGCAAAGACGGAGUUAUUAUUUAUAUGUGAAUAAUAAUUAAUUAUUUAAGGAAUUGUUGCUUCUCUACUUCUAUUCGACUAUUGAAUUUAUCUUUUGUUACAUUUCACAUAUCACAAUUGCAUUUACGUAUCAUAUAUUCUUCGGGUUUUAUAUCAAAGUGCCCACCGAACUCGUUAAAAUGUAUCAAGUACCUACCUAAUUUCCACGACGACUCAAUUACAAUACUAAAAUCAUUAUAUAUAUCAUGCUGUUAAUUUUUUUUAAUCCCUUAACAGAAAACGUUAAGUCUAACGCUUCUUUUUGCUGUGUUGGCAGACACAUGGAAUAAAAUGGGUCAACAAAAAUAAAAACAAAAAUACAUGCAAUAUACACACACCUGAUCAAAUUCCACUUAUUCGCUCUCUCUUGGGAUAAAACCUCUGGUGGUUUGAAGGUGCUCUGAAGCUACAUCGGUGAUCUUUGAAGUAUGUGUAUUGUGAUACAUAUAGAGGUUAAUCAUCAUGGUGUAUUUGCUUCCCAACCUGAAUGCUAUUAUAUUGGUGGAAAGUCCACAGUGCCAGAAUCCAAAAUUUUAUCUAAAGUAACACCUCUGUUAUGCAUAAUAAGCCAAUGAAGAAAUGAGUAUCGAGGAAUUGCAAGACCAUGCGAUACACCUUUGUACCAAGAAACAGUAGUGCUAGCAUUGCGCAGGUCCACAAAUUUGAAACUUUUAUCGCCCCAAAUCGAAUGCCAUCCCAAGAGAUUUCAUCAUUUUUUUUGUUUUUAUUUUUAUUUACCCAUCUUAUUUCAGGUGUCUGCCAACUCAGCAAAAACAAUGAUAACAAGAGUUAACACUUAACGGUUUCUGUUAACAGAUUAAAAAAAGUUAACAGCAUGAUAUAUAUAAUGAUUUUAGUAUUGUAAUUGAGUCGUCGUGGAGAUUAGGUAGGUACUUGAUACAUUUUAACGAGUUCGGUGGGCACUUUGAUAUAAAACCCUAUAUUCUUCUA